rnacentral:SRP_RNA from 1 species
GCCGGGCGUUGUGGCGGGCGCCUGUAGUCCCAGCUACUUGGGAGGCGGAGGCAGGAGACUCGCUUGAGCCCAGGAGUUGGAGGUUGCUGUGAGCUGUAAUGCCACGGCACUCUACCCAGGGUGACAGCUUGAGGCUCUGUCUCAAAAAAAAAAAAAAAAUCUGCAUCUUGGUAGUGGUUCUACCAUAGGUGGGGGAUUGAAAAGGCUUCUUCUUUCUUUUUUUGAAAAGUGGUUCUUGCUAUGUUGCCCAGGGUGAUCUUUUUUUUUUGGAGAUAGAGCCUCAAGCUGUCACCCUGAGUAGAGUGCCUUGGCAUUGCAGCUCACAGUAACCUCCAACUCCUGGGCUUAAGCGAUUCUCCUGCCUCAG